rnacentral:lncRNA from 1 species
AUGCGCUCAGUGAGAGAUUUUCUAUUUCUUUGGGGUCUAGUUCAUACUGAAUGCCUCACUGGAACUACAGAAGCACCACAGGUAGCUGUGUCCUACUUCAACCAUGCACUAACAUCAUGCCCUCCCGUGACCACUGGAGUUUUGCUGCAUCCUCAACAAAUCCUACUCUCAGUUCCAGGAUAAUUUGGCUUACAAAAGAUUGUCACUUCUUUAACAACUAAUGUGGUUGCCUUGGGCAUAUAAAUGGAAAAACCACGGGCAGUAAUGGCAUAUAAAUCUCAGCCCCGCUGCUUACUAGUUGAGAGACUUCAAGCAAAGCGUUUAACUGUGAGUAUCAGAUUCCUAACUUAAUCUAUGUAGUGAAAAAAUAAGGAGAAAGUGUUGGUUCUUCCUUUCUUCUUAAAGGCUUAAAUUUAUAGGCUUAAAGCUAUCAAUUAUUUACUCACUGUGAAAUGAAAUUAAAAAAAAAUUACAAGCCAUCUAAAAGCAAUACCAAAAAGCAUGCUAUGUAGGGGUAAGACAAAGUAUUAGUUAAAACUUGAAACAAAAUUUAGAACAGUGAUGACGACACAUAUUUAUUGAAAAUUAGUAAGUGUAAGAAAAAAAGACUCCUCUAGGUUUUACCAUAACAAGAGCCAAUCCUAUCCUUCACAGUUGAAC